CGAAGAGUUUGAUCCUGGCUCAGGACGAACGCUGGCGGCGUGCCUAACACAUGCAAGUCAGGGAGAAAGGGGUAGCAAUACCCUGAGUAAACCGGCAAACGGGUGAGUAACACAUAGGCAAUCUACCUCAGAGAUUGGGAUAACCUCGCGAAAGUGGGGCUAAUACCGAAUACUCCAGAGAGUUCGCAUGGGCGCUCUGGUAAAGGUUAUUGUGAUUUAUCAUGGUAACGCUUUGAGAUGAGCCUAUGGCUGAUUAGCUAGUUGGUGAGGUAACGGCUCACCAAGGCGACAAUCAGUAGCCGGCCUGAGAGGGUGAUCGGCCACACUGGGACUGAGAUACGGCCCAGACUCCUACGGGAGGCAGCAGUGAGGAAUAUUGGUCAAUGGGCGAAAGCCUGAACCAGCAACGCCGCGUGAGGGAUGAAGCACCAAGGUGUGUAAACCUCUGUUAGAAGGGACGAACAAUCCCGAUGAUCUCGGGACUUGACGGUACCUUCAGAGAAAGCCCCGGCUAACUCCGUGCCAGCAGCCGCGGUAAUACGGGGGGGGCUAGCGUUGUCCGGAAUUAUUGGGCGUAAAGGG
rnacentral:rRNA from 1 species